GGAUUAUUUAUUUCCAAGAGAACAUCAUAAAUCACCAGGUGUCACUGAGAAAGUGAUGGAGAAUACACAAUUCCAGUUUUGGACAGAAAGAAUCUGUCCAACACUGCAAGAGAUCUUUCGAAGCAUGCAAAGUUUUCUAUGACUUGAGAAAUGAAGACAAUGGGGUCACAGGAAUUCCAGGGCAUCAGAAAUCCUGUGCCAGAGCAGUAGCCCCAUAAGACAUAAAUCCUGUGCUUCUGACUCUUCAAGACAUGGUUCUGAAGCAUGUAGUGCUGGGGUGCUGUAACUCACAUGGAAAGAGAAGCAUGGACUACCUCUGUCAGGCUCCCCCAUCAACCCAGCCUCCUGAGCUACACUCACUCAUGAAUUCUCCAGUCACCAGAGGAGAGACCUCCUUGCAUCGUAUGUAAAUACAGCAUGUGCAGUCCCGCCCCAUUAGAAAUAAGCCACCAUCCUUCUGUGGAAUCUGGCUCAAAGGUGAUCAGGUGUUGUACUUGGCUUCAAAUAUUUAGACUCUUUUAACAAAUAGUACUAUUUGGACUCAGAUUUGACUUAAAACCAUAUAAUUUUUGCAUCAGUUUUUCCAGUUGA